rnacentral:tRNA from 1 species
GUCGAAAUAGCUUAAUAGGAAGAGCAAAGGACUGAAGAUCCUUAGGUUAUCAGUUCAAAUCUGAUUUUCGAUA